rnacentral:rRNA from 1 species
UACAGGGGGUGCAAACGUUGCUCGGAAUCAUUGGGCGUAAAGCGCACGUAGGCGGUUCGUUAUGUCGGAUGUGAAAGCCCUUGGCUUAACCGAGGAAGUGCAUCCGAAAACUGCUGAGCUUGAGUACUUAAGAGGAUCGCGGAAUUCCCGGUGUAGAGGUGAAAAUUCGUAGAUAUCGGGAGGAACACCAGUGGCGAAGGCGGCGAUCUGGGAAGAUACUGACGCUGAGGUGCGAAAGCGUGGGGAGCAAACAGG